AAGUCGUAACAAGGUUUCCGUAGGUGAACCUGCGGAAGGAUCAUUAUAGUUAUGGUUCGGAGGGAGGGGUUUUGGAUGCUGGCUCCCCCGAGAAGGGGGGGUAUCGUGCGCGCCCCUCCUUUCCUCAACACACACCUGUGCACAUCGGCGAGCGCCUCCCAUCUGGAGCCGUCCUGGCGUCGAAUCCCCUCCUCCCGGAGGGGAGGAGCCUUGACCGGGGCGCUCGACGCGUUCCUUUCUUUCACAUCCACGCCUGUCACGAUGCAUGUCUUUGAAUUGCUCUACGGAGCAAAAAGUUGA
rnacentral:misc_RNA from 1 species